rnacentral:rRNA from 1 species
UGGCAUACGGCUCAGUAACACGUAGUCAACAUGCCCAGGGGGCGAGGAUAACCUCGGGAAACUGAGGAUAAACCUCGAUAGGCCAUGAUUUCUGGAAUGAUUCUUGGCUCAAACCUAUAUGGCCCCUGGAUUGGACUGCGGCCGAUCAGGCUGUUGGUGAGGUAAUGGCCCACCAAACCUAUUACCGGUACGGGCUCUGAGAGGAGGAGCCCGGAGAUGGGCACUGAGACAGGGGCCCAGGCCCUAUGGGGCGCAGCAGGCGCGAAACCUCUGCAAUAGGCGAAAGCUUGACAGGGUUACUCUGAGUGAUUCCCGCUAAGGGGAUCUUUUGGCACCUCUAAAAAUGGUGUAGAAUAAGGGUGGGCAAGUCUGGUGUCAGCCGCCGCGGUAAUACCAGCACCCCGAGUGGUCGGGACGAUUAUUGGGCCUAAAGCAUCCGUAGCCGGUCCUACAAGUCUUCCGUUAAAUCCACCUGCCCAACAGAUGGGCUGCAGAGGAUACUACAGGGCUAGGAGGCGGGAGAGGCAAGCGGUACUCAGUGGGUAGGGGUAAAAUCCUCUGAUCCACUGAAGACCACCAGUGGCGAAGGCGGCUUGCCAGAACGCGCUCGACGGUGAGGGAUGAAAGCUGGGGGAGCAAACCGGAUUAGAUACCCGGGUAGUCCCAGCUGUAAACGAUGCAGACUCGGUGAUGGGUUGGCUUCGCGCCAACCCAGUGCCGCAGGGAAGCCGUUAAGUCUGCCGCCUGGGGAGUACGGUCGCAAGACUGAAACUUAAAGGAAUUGGCGGGGGAGCACCACAAGGGGUGAAGCCUGCGGUUCAAUUGGAUUCAACGCCGGA